rnacentral:rRNA from 1 species
AGGUACAGAGGCUACAUACCCUCGCGGGGGCUGAUAGCUGGUUGCAUAAUUAUUUGAUUUAAGUCAAGGCAGCUUUACGCUAUAAAGAUAUUAAAGGCAAAGCUUUAAUAUUUACCCUAUUAACCCUCCAACAUGUCUAAUAUAAGCUUAAUACCGGCUAACUCCCGUUCCUGGGACACACAACAUUAACUUAAAUUACAAACAAUUGAAAACACAUAUGCAAUACUCGCCUCUACAGAGACACCUAUAAUGUUAUAACUAGUAUAUGAAAUCCAAUUUAACCUUAUUAAUUAUAUAUUUAAAUAAUUAAAACCUAUAUUUAAGUAAGGAACUCGGCAAAAUAUUAUCCAGCCUGUUUAUCAAAAACACCGCCUAUUGAAAAUAUAAUAGGGUCCAUCCUGCCCAGUGAUAUUUAUUCAACGGCCGCGGUACCCUGAC